AGAGUUUGAUCCUGGCUCAGGACGAACGCUGGCGGCACGCUUAACACAUGCAAGUCGAACGGAGAACAUUGAGCUUGCUUAAUGUUCUUAGUGGCGGACGGGUGAGUAACACGUGAGUAACCUGCCUCUGAGAGUGGGAUAGCUUCUGGAAACGGAUGGUAAUACCGCAUAACAUCAUGGAUUCGCAUGUUUCUAUGAUCAAAGAUUUAUCGCUCAGAGAUGGACUCGCGUCUGAUUAGCUAGUUGGUAAGGUAACGGCUUACCAAGGCGACGAUCAGUAGCCGGACUGAGAGGUUGAUCGGCCACAUUGGGACUGAGACACGGCCCAGACUCCUACGGGAGGCAGCAGUGGGGAAUAUUGCACAAUGGGGGAAACCCUGAUGCAGCGAUGCCGCGUGGAGGAAGAAGGUUUUCGGAUUGUAAACUCCUGUUGAAGAGGACGAUAAUGACGGUACUCUUUUAGAAAGCUCCGGCUAACUACGUGCCAGCAGCCGCGGUAAUACGUAGGGAGCGAGCGUUGUCCGGAAUUACUGGGUGUAAAGGGAGCGUAGGCGGGAUGGCAAGUCAGAUGUGAAAACUAUGGGCUCAACCCAUAGACUGCAUUUGAAACUGUUGUUCUUGAGUGAGGUAGAGGUAAGCGGAAUUCCUGGUGUAGCGGUGAAAUGCGUAGAGAUCAGGAGGAACAUCGGUGGCGAAGGCGGCUUACUGGGCCUUUACUGACGCUGAGGCUCGAAAGCGUGGGGAGCAAACAGGAUUAGAUACCCUGGUAGUCCACGCCGUAAACG
rnacentral:rRNA from 1 species